AUGCCUCAGCCUUUACUUCCAAUUCAGCUUCUAGUCAGCCACACUUCACGUCUCGACCCCAGCCUCAGAGGAAGACCCAAGACAAUGGUAGCAAAGAAGGAGCCAGUUAGUCCAGGAAUUGCUGUUCUGUGCAUAGCGAUGUCUGCAAAUGGCAAAUGGAGACAGAUAGGCCUCACCAGUCUCAAAGGUCUGAUUACCAUUGUGAGUCCAUGCUUCUCCUGGAUCGUACUUACUCUAGCAAAAUCUGGUCAUCCACUAAGCCAGGCCAUUAUGCCUUGGAUGGAAAAGCCAAAGUCCUCCAGUCUCCAGAAAUAGUCAAAUACAUUGCCAUUUUCUUCACUGCUGAUUGUGGCAAUCCAGAAAAUAUUAUAGUCCAGUAGCUAAAGUUGGAAGUGCUAAUCUGCUUAUCCUGAGAGAUAAGAUGGAACAACACAAAGGAAAAGCUUGACUUAUGUCCCAUAGUCUUCAAUAAAUAGAAUUUCCCUCCAUAGUACCUGUCCUUUUCUUACUGUGUCGU
rnacentral:lncRNA from 1 species